rnacentral:rRNA from 1 species
GAAAUAGUUCCUGAAACCAUGCGCCUACAAGCGGUCGGAGCUGUUAAUUCAGUGACGGCGUGCCUUUUGCAUAAUGAACCUACGAGUUACCAUGUCUGGCAAGGAUAAGUGCCAUUAGUCACGUAUCCGCAGUGAAAGCGAGCCUGAAUAGGGCGUCGAGUCAGAUGGGGUAGACGCGAAACCAAGUGAUCUACACUUGCCCAGGUUGAAGUCCGGGUAACACCGGAUGGAGGACCGCACGGAUAAGCGUUGAAAAGCUUCCCGAUGAGGUGAGUGUAGGAGUGAAAGGCCAAUCAAACUUGGAGAUAGCUCGUACUCCCCGAAAGGCAUUUAGGUGCCGCGUGCAUCGAUCUCCAUGAGAGGUAGAGCGACCGAUAGGUCAAGAGGGCUUCACCGCCUAUCGAGACCUGACGAACUCCGAAUGCUUAUGGAUAGCAGAUGUGCAGUAAGGGGGCGGGUGCUAAGGUCCGUCCCCGAGAGGAGAAGAAUCCAGACCGCCGUCUAAGGUCCCGAAAUUCUGUCUAAGUUAGUCUAACGAAGUCUGGUCCCCGUGACAGCUAGGAUGUUGGCUUGGAAGCAGCCAUUCAUUCAAAGAGUGCGUAACAGCUCACUAGUCGAGGGUCCGGGCAUGGAUAAUAAUCGGGUAUAAGUCAGAUACCGAAGGCGCGGGAUAGUAAUGUAAAUUAAAAGUAUCGGUAGGGGAGCAUUCCAUCGACGUUGAAUGGUGAAGGUAACUGAUCCUGGAGUUUAUGGAAAAGCAAAUGUAGGUAUAAGUAACGAUAAAAAGGGUGAGAUUCCCUUUCGCCGAAAGACCGAGGUUUCCCGGGCGAUGCCAAUCAGCCCGGGGUUAGUCGGGUCCUAAGUCUCAGCCGAACGGCGAAGGCGAUGGCAGAUGCGGUUAAUAUUCCGCAACUCGCAUAUUCAGUGAUGUGGAGACGGAGCAGUGACACUGCCGCGCCCUGACGGAAUAGGGCGUUUAAGUCUGUAGGCUAUGAGGAUGGCAGGCAAAUCCACCAUCCGAGCUGAACGAUGAAAGUACGGGUUGUCUUUCGGGACGACUUGAGUGCAGGUAAUCAUACUUCCGAGAAAAUCCGCUAAACUUAAUGUUUAUGCGACCCGUACCGCAAACGGACACACGUGGUCGGGUAGAAUAUACUAAGGCGUUGAGAGAUUCAUGGUUAAGGAACUAGGCAAAUUGACCCCGUAACUUCGGGAUAAGGGGUCCUCAUGUAUAAUGAGGCGCAGAGAAUAGGUCCAGGCAACUGUUUAACAAAAACACAGGGCUGUGCAAACUCGAAAGAUGACGUAUACAGCCUGACACCUGCCCGGUGCUGGAAGGUUAAGAGGAGGGGUUAGACUUCGGUCGAAGCUCUGAAUUGAAGCCCCAGUAAACGGCGGCCGUAACUAUAACGGUCCUAAGGUAGCGAAAUUCCUUGUCGGGUAAGUUCCGACCCGCACGAAAGGUGUAACGACUUGCGCACUGUCUCAACGAGGGACCCGGUGAAAUUGAAGUACCUGUGAAGAUGCAGGUUACCCGCGACUGGACAGAAAGACCCCAUGGAGCUUUACUGCAACCUAAGAUUGAACUUAGUUAAUGAAUGUACAGGAUAGGUGGGAGACUUAGAAUCUAGGGCGCCAGUCUUAGAGGAGUCGUUGUUGGGAUACCACCCUUUGAUUAAUUGAUUUCUAACAGGCCGAUUAACAACCGGCUGGACAGUCUUAGGCGGGCAGUUUGACUGGGGCGGUCGCCUCCUAAAGAGUAACGGAGGCGCCCAAAGGUUCCCUCAGAGCGGACGGAAAUCGCUCGAAGAGUGUAAAGGCAGAAGGGAGCUUGACUGCGAGACGGACAGGUCGAGCAGGGACGAAAGUCGGGCUUAGUGAUCCGGUGGUGCCGAGUGGAAGGGCCAUCGCUCAACGGAUAAAAGCUACCCUGGGGAUAACAGGCUAAUCUCUCCCAAGAGUCCAUAUCGACGGGGAGGUUUGGCACCUCGAUGUCGGCUCAUCACAUCCUGGGGCUGAAGUAGGUCCCAAGGGUUCGGCUGUUCGCCGAUUAAAGUGGUACGUGAGCUGGGUUCAGAACGUCGUGAGACAGUUCGGUCCCUAUCCAUCGCGGGCGCAAGAAACUUGAAGGGGGCUGCUCCUAGUACGAGAGGACCGGAGUGGACGAACCGCUGGUGUACCAAUUAUCCUGCCAAGGGUACAGUUGGGUAGCUACGUUCGGGACGGAUAAACGCUGAAAGCAUCUAAGCGUGAAACCAGCCUUGAGAUGAGGUUUCUCAUAGCAUAAGCUAGUAAGAUCCCAUGUAGACGACAUGGUUGAUAGGCCAGGUGUGGAAGAGCCGUGAGGUUUGGAGCUGACUGGUACUAAUAGAUCGAGGGCUUU